AUUUUUUUAAAUUUUGUUUAUAUAUUUAUUUAUUUAUUUUGAGAUGAAGUCUCAUUCUGUUGCCUAGGCUGGAGUACAGUGGCACAAUCUUGGCUCACUGCAACCUCUGCCUCCCAGGUUCAAGCAAUUCUCUCAGCCUCCCAAGUAGCUGGGAUUAUAGGCAUAUGCCACCAUGCCAGGCUAAUUUUUGUAUUUUUUGUAGACACAGGGUUUUGCCAUGUUGGCCAGGCUGGUCUCAAACUCCUGACCAGCCCUCCUUGACCUUCCAAAGUGCUGGGAUUAUAGGCGUGAGCCAUUGCACCUGGCCCAGUUCCCUGGGAUACAUGUGUUUUAAUUCAUUUUCUGUUGCUAGUAACAGAAUACCUGAAACUGGGUAAUUUAUAAGGAAAAGAAAUUUAUUUCUUACAGUGAUGGAGGUUGAGAAGUCCAACUUCAAGGCACCACAUCUGGUGAGAGCCUUCAUUCCGAUGACAGCCUUCAUGCUGGUAAGAUUUUCUUCAGAGUUCCAAGGUGGUGCACGGCAUCACAUGGCGAAGGAAAUGAGCGUGCUAGCUCAGGUGUCUCUUCCUCUUCUUAUAAAGCCACCAGUCCCACUCCUGUGCUAGUAACUCUUUAAUCCAUCAACCCAUUAAUCCAUGAAUAGAUUAACCCAUGAGGCCUCUGCCCUCAGGACCCAAUCACCUCUUAAAGGCCUGACCUGUCAAUAUUGCCAUACUGGGGACUCAGUUUCAACAUGAGUUUUGAAAGGGACAAACAUUCAAUCCAUAGUAACAUGAGAGCUUUUCAAAGCCCUUCUUUGUUGAAGUAUGUCCUUCUCCAGCCUCUUUUUUCCCAGGCUUUUUGUUUUUUCUAUUGCUUGUGCAGCUGUUAUCCUUUGCUACAGGUGGCAAUAGCUAAUACAUUUGCCUUUAAAUUUGUUUGACAAACACCACCCUGGAAGUAGCCUCAACUCUGGGGAAGCUCCAAGACAGGUAAAAUACAGCAACCUGCAGCAGGAAAAUGGGCUUCAGUUUUCAAGUCUGCAGCUGAGUUGGGAAGUUGCGGACAGUAACCAGGUAAGUUAAAAUUCACAAAGCUCUGUUACUGACACUCAGCUUUUUUUUUUUUUAUCAUUAAGCUUUCCCCUGGUUGUUGUAACUUUUUUAUUGGAUUCUAAAGUUCUGAAAAAGUUCAUUGUGAUAAUUUUUGCAAGCUUUUCAUUGCUUUUGUGGAGACAUAAUGUUUUGGAGCUCUCUACUCUGCGAUUUUCACUGAUAUCUGUCCAAAGGAGAGAGUGGGAGAGAUGGAUCUUAUAUCACUCCAUAAAAGUGCAGCCUCUAGGCCAGAUCCCAUUAGAUUUGGCUGGGAGUCUAGGAUAAUUAAACAUUCACAUACUCUGUAACCCAGAAAUUUCACUAAUAUAUAUCCUACAACAACUUUUGCACAUGUGCAUAAAAGAAAUUCAUAAAGGCAUUCAUAGCAAGAUUGAAACUUUGUAUUCUACCUUCUUUUCUGAAAGCAUUGGAUACAAAGGUCUACGUCUCUGGCCCACUGCUGAAGUCACCUAGAAUUUUAAUUAUAUGGAUAAUUAUUUGGCAGAGUGCUUAAGGAGAAAUAAAAAAGGGUUUCAAAAAACUACUGAUUUUUUUUUUUAAGAGAAAUCUUGCUCUGUCACCCAGGCUAGAGUGCAGUGGCACGAUCUUGGCUCACUGCAACCUCCACUUUCCGGGUUCAAGUGAUUUUCCUGCCUCAGCCUCCUGAGUAGCUGGGAUUACAGGUGUCUGCCACCACGCCUGGCUAAUUUUUGUAUCUUUAGUAGAGACGGGGUUUCACCAUGUUGGCCAGGCUAGUCUUGAACUCCUGACCUCAAGUGAUCCUCCCACCUUGGCCUCCCAAAGGCGAGAGCCACCGCACCUGGCCUCAUUCCUUUUUUAUUCUGGGUAAUUUUAACAUAUCAUCUGACUGACAAGCUACUGCUAAUAAAAUAUAAACUGAAAAUAGAUUUUUUUCUUCCUUGUCUAGACUAUUUAAUUUUGUUCUUCUUUGCUAUUGUCUAGUUCUAGAAAAAGCGCUUAGUGUGAAAUUUGUGGGAAAGAUGCUGUUCAGAGUUUAAUUUCAUUAUGUAGUUAACCAAUGAAAAUCCAGCGGAAAAAAAAGGUAAACAUUUUUAGGAGAUGGUAAAAACUAUUUAAAAAAUGGAAAGUUCAUAGACAUAAUUUUUCUGAAAUAGAACAUUCAGUCAAUAGAGUUGAAAACUGAAUAAAUGAAUACAUGAUUGAAUGGUUGAUUCAAAUGCAUCAUUAAUUAAUUGGAAAUAAUUGACUGUGUCACUUGGUCCUAAAAAUAUUCCUCUAAGAAAUCAUUAGCAUUAUCUGGAAAACUUUAAAAAGUGAUACCCAAAGCCCAGUUUAAUUGAAUCAGAAUCUCUGGAGGAAGGGCUUAGCCAUUAUUAUUAUUAUUUUUUUUUUUUCUGAGAUGGAGUUUCACUCUUGUUGCCCAGGCUUGAGUGCAAUGGUGCGAUCUCAGUUCACUGCAACCUCCACCUCCCAGGUUUAAGUGAUUCUUCUGCCUCAGCCUCCCGAGUAGCUGGGGUUACAGGCGCAUGCCACCGUACCUGGCUAAUUUUUGUAUUUGUUGUAGAGAUGAGGUUUCACCAUGUUGUUGCACAGGCUGGUCUCGAACUCCUGAGCUCAAGUGAUCCGCCUGCCUCUGCCUCCCAAAGGGCAGAGAUUACAGGCAUGAGCCACUGCACAUGGCCCUUUUAGACCUCUUUUAAUCUUUGGGUUUCUUCAAAACCAUUUGCUUCCCUUGCAAUUUAUUUUUGGGAUAAACCAGUUGAUACUGUAGGGCUUCCCACAGUUUAGAUUUUGCUGAUUAUAACUUUAUGGUGUUAUUUAACAUGUUCCUUUGUCCCCUCUAUUCCGCAUAGAUUGUUCGUCUGGUAAGGAUAUAAUAAACUUAUUAAAUGUUAGCCCAUUGUGUCAUUCCUCCUUAGUAGGGGUUAAGAAUUAUGCUGCCUUCAGGAAGGGGUCUGCAUGUUGAGGUUGCCCAGGUCUGAGUGCAACUAGGAUAUACAAUGGGAGUUGAGAUCAUCAUUGUGGGGCAGGAUAGUGUAGAAAAUGGCAGGGAAGCUGCUCUUUGCCUCACCUCCUCACAGCCUCUGUUCUUGACAUCUGCCUCUCUCUUAGAGUGGUGUGGAACAUGUCUCUUCUCUGAACUCCCUCUCCUUUAGUCCUGUCACACUGAAGACAUUGCUGGAGGCAUUUCUGCCACCUGGGUGAAUCAAAGAACCAACUAAUUUGUGAGGAUGUGUAGAGGAGGCAUUCCUAACUUUCCACUUAUCUGUUAAGACCCAGUUGAAAUCUUUCAUCUUGGAGCGGGGGACAGUGAUCCUGUUCCCCCGUGCCCACCCCCAUCUGGAAGCACAGCUGAUCACUUUCUCCUUGGUAGAACAGCAUGCCUCACAUAUACCCCUGUUAUGCAUUUUGUUACAUGUCAUUUGAAUUAUGUAUCUCUCUACGUAAUUGUUUCAACUAUAAGAUGCACAAAUUCCUUGAGGUUGAGAACCAGGUCUUCUUUAUUUUUUUAACCCCAGGGCCAUGCACAGGCCCUGGUUGUAUCUGGCACGUUCCUGGCAGGAAGCAGAUGAUGCCUUCAAACUGGGUAAUCAAGGGCAGUUUAACAAUAUUAUAGGCCAUGUGCAUUGCUUACGCCUGUAAUCCCGGCACUUUCGGAGGCUGAGGCAGGAGGAUCACUUGAGCCCAGGAGUUCCAGGCUGCAGUGAGCUGUGAUCAUGCCACUGCACUCCAGCCUGGGUGACAGAGUGAGACCUUGUCUCAAAAAAAAGAAAAACAGAAAACCCCAAAGGUACUAUUACAAAAGUGUAGGCAGGGUUCUGUGAAAGUAACAGGGAAUGGUGUGGUAUACCCAAGUUAAUAACGGAAUGGUGGAGGGGCAAAUGGAGAGAAUGGUCACCAAAACCCAGGGAAAAGCUUUUAGUAGAGGACACAGUCAAUCCGUAGUGACCCAGCAAGGGAGGAAUUGGAAAUAGUGACCUCAACUUCGUUUUUCUCCAUCCUUUGAUCUCCUGCCCAUGUUUUCUAUUGGCUGAAUCUAACCAGAAUGCAGAGGGCAAGAGAGCCCAUUGCUGCGGUCCAUACAGGUCUGCCUCCCUGGUCUGAAGACAGCUAGAUGGGGCAAAUGGAAGUUAUCCAGUAUGGGAUCCCCUCAAGCAUUCACCCUUAUCCUUUUGCCAGGUGAAAUACUUAUGUUCCCAGCAGAGGGCACCCACAAAAUUCCUAUUAACUGCUGUACCAUUGCAUGAUGACUUCAAUUCAGUCAUAGUCUAACCUCGAGUCUAAAAUGGUAGCCAUUGCCAGUGCCCAUCAUUGAAGGUAUGAAGGAGGGGGAGAUUCAAGGAGACUGGAGUGAGGGGGCAAUUAAAAUAAUUACAAUGAAAUGUAACUCUGACUGAGCACAUUUCUGGAACAAGUCAUGGAGGCCACGCUGAUAAUCAUAGCUUCCUUCUUCCACCACCCAUUACCUCCUUCGGGCUGAGUGGGGUUUGUUACUUGGCAGGGUGAUCCAUACCUUCAUCUGUGAUCUGAGUCCUCGGUGAACCUGCCUCUCUGGGUUGCACCACUUUCCACCGACUGCUAGAAUAAGAGAUGCCUCAGUGAAUCUCUUGGAUGAGUCUCUCCUGUCGGGUAGCUGCAAAGGAAUUUCCUUCUAGUCAAUGGAGACAGCCAAUACAGUGACUGCUUUCUCUGCCUUUUGGUUUAGCAGCAUGAGGAGGCUCAGAUGGCUUAGGGUCACACUCAGUUUCAACUUCCAAUUGGAUGUUACUUUGUGUUCCUUGAUGGAAGUAUUUCUUCUAGGUCAGCCACUGAGCCCAAGGUCAAACAAAAAGCAAGAAUUCUUUCCAUGGUGAAUUAGUGUAAUAGUGCGAAGAACCACUCCUGCCUCCACCCCUCGGUUCCCAGGCUGAUGCAAUCUGAUUACGGGGGAGGUGGCAUCCUGGGCUGCUGCUGGUUUGAGGCAGUUACUGCAUCUUAUAGGAAAGCACCCCACCCUGCCAGGCAUUGCCCCUCAGCUGUCACUGUGUCUGUGUCUUCAGCAGGCCAUUCCACCAUCCAAUUAAUCCAUUUAUUUAUUUAUUUAUUUAGAUGGCGUCUCACUCUGUCACCCAGGCUGGAGUGCAGUGGCUCGAUCUUGUUUCACUGCAACCUCUGUCUCCCAGGUUCAAGCGAUUCUUCUGCCUCAGCCUCUCAGGUAGCUGGGACUACAGGUGCAUGCCACCAUGCCUAGCUAAUUUUUGUAUUUUUAGUAGAGAUGGGGUUUCACCAUAUUGGCCAGGCUGGUCUCAAACUCCUGACCUUGUGAUCUGCCCGCCUCGGCCUCCCAAAGUGCUGGGAUUACAGGCAUGAGCCACCGCGCCUGGCCCAAUUAAUCCAUAUUUUUCUAGGGAAUGAAUCGUGAUAAAACCAGUGAAUUCCAUGGUUAUGAGCCCGCUGUCACAUUGCCACCUCUGAAAAGUGUAUCCCUUGCAGGGAGAUGUUUGAGUUUUGACACCAUUUGGGAUAGACAAGACAUUCUUUAAGUCCAUGAACUUUGGUGCUGGCAGACAUACUGGGGACAGGAAAGGCAAAUCCAUACUUGGAGCAAAUAUUUGUCUCUGUGAGGCUAAUUCUGCCUCCUACCUGAUGAAAGGGAUCCAAAGUUAUCUACCUGCAAUCAGAUGUCUUUGCUGGGUCUCUUUAAGGAACGGUGCCAUUUUAGGGUCUUAGUGUUGAUCUGCUGUGGCCGAUUGGACAUUGAGUUCUGGCAGAGGCCAGAUCAGUCUUGGUGAGAGUGUGCUACUGAGCCCAUGCAUAGCGUCCAUCCCUGCCAUAUGUGUGCUUUGUUCAUGGGCCAAUUAAGCAAGUACGUGGGAAGUGAGGGAAAGAGACUGAUAGAUAUCCACAGAUUGGAUCAUCUUGACCACAUGAUUAUUGUUAGAAACAGAAUUGUGGCCCCCAAAUUCAUAUAGUGAAGCCCUAAUUCCCCCAUGUGACUGUAUUUGGAGACAGGAGAUAAUUGAGAUCAUAAGGGUUGAGGCCUAAUCUCAUAGGAUCGCUGUCCUUAUAAGAAGUGGAAGAAACAUCAGAGAGCUCUCCCUCUCCACACACACAGAGGAAAGGCCACAUGGGGACAAGAGAGGGCAACUGUCUACAAAUCUGGAAGAGAGACUUCAGAAGAAACCAGCACUGAUGGCAUCUGAUCUUGGACUUCCAGCCUCUGGAUCUUUUCUGUGUCAUUUCCAGAUCUGCCAGAGCCUGAUCUCAUACACACUGAUGUGGUACAGGAAAUGCCACCUGAAAAUAUGGUACCUUGGCAUUUGAGGAAACAGUAGAAGGAGGUCAUAGAAACUAGAAAGAAUUCCUCCUUGCUCUUUGUCCCCCAAAGGAGCCAUAAAACCUGGGCCGAGUUUCUUCUGAAAAUAAGUUAUAAGAUCCUUAUUCCAGAGGGGUCCUGCCCUGUGCCUGGAGGAAAAGAAUGAAGACACAGAGAUGCCUUGAAGAAUCUGAACAAACAGCCCUUGCUAAGUUCCCCCCAGUUUAUUGACAUUAGAUUAGACCUUUUGUCCUCCAAUUAUACUUCUGUGUUCCUGAAAAUACACAUUUUCCCGUUUUUUCUUUUGUUUGCUUUUUUUGAUCUUCAUUUCUGAAGAUUCCCAUGUCAUGUAAAAUAUAUGUUAAACAAAU
rnacentral:tRNA from 10 species